rnacentral:lncRNA from 1 species
AGGAAGGAAGGAAGGAAGGAAGGAAGGAAGGAAGGAAGGAAGGAAGGAAAAGGAAGGAAACCAGGGGGUAGCAUGUUCCUUUAAUCCCAGCACUCAGGAGUCAGAGGCAGGUGGAUCUCUGCCAGUUUGUAGUCAUUCUGGUCUACACAGUGAGUUCCAGAACAUCUAGGGAUGCAUAAUAUGACUCCAUUUCAAAAAAGUUAAAAGAAGAAAAAAAAAAAGAACAUCGGGAUCCUGAUCACUGCCUGCCCUGUUAACCGAGCCACCAACCAGAGAGCGAGCAUGGGGCUGAGCCACGCCCUCUGCACAUACGUAACAGCAGUGCACCUUGGUCUCCUGUUGGACUCCUAAGAGCAGGAGCAGGGGCUGUCUCUGACUCUGUUGCCUGCCUUUGGAACUCUUGCCUUAACUGGGCUGCCUAGUCUACCAAUCCUCAACAGAAGC